GCCCGGCUAGCUCAAUUGGUUAGAGCGUGUGACUUUUAUCGAGAAUUUCUCUAUAUGUAGAUAUCCCAAGGUUGUGAGUUCGACUCUCACGUCGGGCG